rnacentral:rRNA from 1 species
UACGAAGGGGGCGAGCGUUGUUCGGAAUUACUGGGCGUAAAGGGCGCGCAGGCGGCUCUGAAAGUCAGAUGUGAAAUUCCUGGGCUUAACCUGGGGGCUGCAUUUGAAACUAAUAGGCUAGAGUUUGGAAGAGGGUCGUGGAAUUCCCGGUGUAGCGGUGAAAUGCGCAGAUAUCGGGAGGAACACCGGUGGCGAAGGCGGUUCUCUGGGCCUUACCUGACACUGAGGAGCGAAAGCGUGGGGAGCGAACAGG